GGUCAGGGUCCGAGUCCGAGUCCGAGUCCGACUGGUCCGAACACCACGCUUUCCUGUUCGACCCUUUUUUGGAUGAAUGGUCUAUAAAAAAUGAGGAAGAAUUGGAGAAAUAUUAUGAUGUGGUAUUUAAUUUGGAGAAAACAAGAGGCCGUUUUUUUAACUGUCUUGAAGACUUGAAGACUGGUGGCGUUUUCUACAGAUCUGUUAAGAACAGGGUGAAUACUGCUGUUAUUCACUAUAACAAGAAAAAUCAAACUGGCUUUAGAGCAGGCAAGAUUUUGAAUUGCGUUCUCAAUGCAGCUGGGGGUGCUAAGCUUUAUUUGACCUUUGUGGCCAAGGAUUUCAAUACUGGUGAUGUGCGGGAAUUCCAAGCGUGUGUGUAUGAAUCUGCUGCUGGGGUGAUAGGAGAGUCAACCUUUGCAGGCUUAAAAUUCCUAAGGAACCAUGCGAGGGUGAUGGCAAAUGCAUUUGAAGGAGGAGGAAUUUCAUGAUUGACUUGGGAAUUGAGUGGAUGCCACUGUGUGUGGAGAUUUGAAUCUUUGCUGAAAUCACUUGGGAAUAUUGUCUUAGAUGCUGAAAUUACUUUGUUGCUGGCUGCUGAUUUGGUUUUUGUUGGUGUGGUCGUUGACUCAAAACACUUUGUUGAUGAUUUGGUCUUUUUGUUUUAUGUCUGCGUUUGAGUUUGUUGGGAUGGUCGUCUACCAUGUGGUUGCUGAGUUUUAUUUGUAUUAAAUGAGAUUGUUAAUUGUGUAAUUAAAGAAGGUAUGGAAGCUUACUAUCUGGGAA